rnacentral:rRNA from 1 species
AGAAUCAACGCUGGCGGCGUGCCUAACACAUGCAAGUCGAACGCGAAAGCCCCGAAAGGGGUAAGUAGAGUGGCAAACGGGUGAGUAACACGUGGGUGACCUGCCUUCGAGUGGGGGAUAACGUCCCGAAAGGGACGCUAAUACCGCAUAACAUCCUGCCUUUGAAGAGGUGGAGAUCAAAGCCGGGGACCGCAAGGCCUGGCGUUCGAAGAGGGGCCCGCGCCUGAUUAGCUAGUUGGUGGGGUAAUGGCUCACCAAGGCAACGAUC